CAGUCGCCGCGGUAAUACGGAGGGUGCAAGCGUUAAUCGGAAUUACUGGGCGUAAAGCGCACGCAGGCGGUUUGUUAAGUCAGAUGUGAAAUCCCCGGGCUCAACCUGGGAACUGCAUCUGAUACUGGGAAGCUAGAGUAUGGGAGAGGAUGGUAGAAUUCCAGGUGUAGCGGUGAAAUGCGUAGAGAUCUGGAGGAAUACCGAUGGCGAAGGCAGCCAUCUGGCCUAAUACUGACGCUGAGGUACGAAAGCAUGGGGAGCAAACAGGAUUAGAUACCCCAGUAGUCCCUGUCUCUUAUAC
rnacentral:rRNA from 1 species